GACAAAAGAGAAAACACAAUGGCAAAUCAGAAAAAAUAACAUUAACCAUUGUGUGUUCUCUUUUUGUGUUUUCUGAUUUGCCGUUGUGUUUUCUUUUUUGCA